CCUACGGGAGGCAGCAGUGGGGAAUAUUGGACAAUGGGGGGAACCCUGAUCCAGCGACGCCGCGUGAGUGAAGAAGUAUUUCGGUAUGUAAAGCUCUAUCAGCAGGGAAGAAAGAAAUGACGGUACCUGACUAAGAAGCCCCGGCUAACUACGUGCCGGUAGCCGCGGUAAUACGGAGGGGGCAAGCGUUAUCCGGAUUUACUGGGUGUAAAGGGAGCGUAGACGGCGAUGCAAGUCUGAAGUGAAAGGCGGGGGCCCAACCCCUGGACUGCUUUGGAAACUGUAUGGCUGGAGUGCAGGAGAGGUAAGUGGAAUUCCUAGUGUAGCGGUGAAAUGCGUAGAUAUUAGGAGGAACACCAGUGGCGAAGGCGGCUUACUGGACUGUAACUGACGUUGAGGCUCGAAAGCGUGGGGAGCAAACAGGAUUAGAUACCCGAGUAGUC
rnacentral:rRNA from 1 species